rnacentral:rRNA from 1 species
GAUAAACGCUGGCGGCGUGCCUAAUGCAUGCAAGUCGGACGGGUUAGGGGUUAAGGCCUCUAGCCAGUGGCAGACGGGUGAGUAACGCGUGGAUGACCUGCCUUGGCAUGGGGGAUAACUGCCCGAAAGGGUGGCUAAUACCGCGUACGCUCUUUGGGUGAUGGUACCUGGAGAGGAAAGUCCUUAGGGAUGUGCCAAGAGGGGUCCGCGUCCGAUUAGCUAGCUGGUGGGGUAACGGCCUACCAGGGCGAUGAUCGGUAGCUGGUCUGAGAGGAUG